CCUACGGGUGGCUGCAGUGGGGAAUUUUGGACAAUGGGCGAAAGCCUGAUCCAGCCAUGCCGCGUGAGUGAAGAAGGCCUUCGGGUUGUAAAGCUCUUUUGUUUGGGAAGAAAUCCCUAAGGAUAAUACCCUUGGGGGAUGACGGUACCAAAAGAAUAAGCACCGGCUAACUACGUGCCAGCAGCCGCGGUAAUACGUAGGGUGCAAGCGUUACGCGGAAUUACUGGGCGUGAUGCUUGAGCAGGCGUGUGGAAUCCACGAGCUCAACUUGGGAACUGCACUUGUGACUGCAAGACUAGAGUGUGUCAGAGGGAGGUAGAAUUCCACGUGUAGCAGUGAAAUGCGUAGAUAUGUGGAGGAAUACCAGUGGCGAAGGCGGCCUCCUGGGAUAACACUGACGCUCAUGUACGAAAGCGUGGGGAGCAAACAGGAUUAGAUACCCUAGUAGUC
rnacentral:rRNA from 1 species